rnacentral:rRNA from 1 species
AAGGAAUAUUGGUCAAUGGACGCAAGUCUGAACCAGCCAUGCCGCGUGAAGGAUGAAGGUCCUCUGGAUUGUAAACUUCUUUUAUCUGGGACGAAAACGGGAUUUUUAUCUCAAUUGACGGUACCAGAGGAAUAAGCACCGGCUAACUCCGUGCCAGCAGCCGCGGUAAUACGGAGGGUGCGAGCGUUAUCCGGAUUUACUGGGUUUAAAGGGUGCGUAGGUGGGCUUAUAAGUCAGUGGUGAAAUCUCCGAGCUUAACUUGGAAACUGCCGUUGAUACUAUAGGUCUUGAAUUAUCUGGAGGUAAGCGGAAUAUGUCAUGUAGCGGUGAAAUGCUUAGAUAUGACAUAGAACACCAAUUGCGAAGGCAGCUUACUGCAUAUAAAUUGACGCUGAGGCACGAAAGCGUGGGGAUCAAACA